UACGUAGGUGACAAGCGUUGUUCGGAGUUACUGGGCGUAAAGGGUGUGUAGGCGGUUGUUUAAGUUUGGUGUGAAAUCUCCCGGCUCAACCGGGAGGGUGCGCCGAAUACUGAAUGACUAGAGUGCGGGAGAGGAAAGUGGAAUUCCUGGUGUAGCGGUGAAAUGCGUAGAUAUCAGGAGGAACACCGGUGGUGUAGACGGCUUUCUGGACCGUAACUGACGCUGAGACACGAAAGCGUGGGUAGCAAACAGG
rnacentral:rRNA from 1 species